AGCCUCUCUCUCCACGCUUGGGUUCAGAACAGACGGGUAACAAGCCCUGCUAGUCAUUUGAAGUUGCUCAUUUAUUAUGAAUCCUCUGGAAUUCAAUGACUCGACAAAGGGAGAGAGAUCUGACACGGCCGCAUCCACAGCUGUUCAUUAAAGAAGACUUCUUCCCAUAAUCUUGGCAACUCAACGAUAAUGUAUUCUAAUGAACAAAAUGAAGAAAAGGGGUUUGAGGAAUUAUAUGGACGAAAAUGAAGAUUUCUGCCAGGGAAAGUCUUGGCUGAGGUACUGUUGUUAUAAAAUGGUUUAAUUUUUUAAUUCAUUUAUCAUUCAUCGGUUAGGACUCCAAUGCAUGAGCUCUCAAUGAAAUGGCACUCUGCGCUCAAAGACCAGGGGUGUGCCUGUCUUUUUGAGGGGAGCGGGCAGUUGCCACCUGCUCCAUCUGCCUCCAUCUGGUGCAGUUGCCACCCUGGAGAUCCCCAAUGGGAAGGAGGCAUAGCGAAUCGGUGACUACCCAGGCCAGCGUUGCCGUGACAGGGGGUGUGGCAGUGGGGAAACUCAUACAAUGUAAGUCUGGUAAGCUGCCUUUGAAGUCCCAGGGUGCACUGGGGUUAUUGGCAGUGGAAGUAUGAGGGUUUAGCCUGCCUGUUCAAAGCCCCCACUUGACAGAGGCUCCAACCACAUGGUGACACAGUGUGAUGCUAUCUAUCAUCUUACUUUUCCACCACCUCUGGAACCUAACCUCUCUCUUUCUCUUUCCCUCUUUCUUUCUCUUUCUCUCUCCUAUCUCUGAUAAACUGAAAUGAUUGAAUGUACCAACAGUAAUACUUAAAAAUGUGUAAAACAUGGUCAAACUUUGCACCUGGUACAAAAAAAAAGCAAUAUACAAUUAACAUAGGCUGAGAAAAUCCAUAAACUUAAUUUUAUCUGAAUUUAUCGGUGGUUAUUUUCCAUCAAUAAUAUGUGGCCUUCCCUUUAACAUUAGAUUUAUAGAUAUAAAAGCAAUUACGCCCAUUGUAAACACAUUUAAAUAUGAAGUAUCGUGUGUCGAGAACUGGAAUUAAUUUUUCUCAGAAGAUCAAAAGAAUGACCUCAUUCAUAUUUAACGCAAAGGAGCCUGACCUCACCCACUGGACUUCCUGACAGUACCCACAUUAAGUUUAGUCUAGUUACUCUGGUAUGUCAGUGCAAGACUGCUAUUACAUAACUCUCCUGUAUCAGUCAUUAGGAAUGGAUUCCUUAAAUUCUAUCAUGGUAUGUGAGCAGAACACUAAACGAUCCCCUGAUUAGAUACAACUAAAAUAUUGGAACCUGCAAGUGUUUGGCUUUAGGUUCCAGGGUGCAGCAUCUACAGCUAGGCCCUUCUUCUUUAAAGAGACAGGGAAGGACCUACUAUCUGCACUGAAUUGCCUCUGUUGACCCUUUGUCAUGAAUAUGAGAUAUGAGACCAAGAGAGGUCAGGUCAUGGAUCACUGCCUCUCACUGUUGCACUGCUAGUUACUGCUACUGGAAUGGGUGUAACCGUGUUAUGGUAACAGAGAUGAGAGAGAAUUUAGAUAAAAUAAUAACCCUUGUGAGGUCAAUGGUUAGGUGACCAUGCCAGAUUAUGACGUUUGACCUAUCUUUGUCCUUUUUUGUCCAUUUGUGCUUUAUAGCGAUCAUAGGUGCUGUCCUCAGAAAGUCUACUAAAUAUGUGGGCACUGGUCUGUAUUCCAGCACAUGUCUAAGAGAGCAAAGAGUGGGUAGAACAGCAACAGUACAGUACAGUGUGUACAUGUAAAAUAUACCUUGUGGGUUUAAGUUUUUUCGACAUGGAGGUUUCCAUGGACACAAUGGCUAGAUAUAGGUAUCAUUGGCUUUCUUAUUUGGGGAUUCUGCAGAUGCUUCCACAAAAUAAACAGAAUACAGAGGCAAAAUAACGGUGACUGCACAUCUUUAGACCGUGGGUAUAAUUACCAAACCAGUUCUGUUUCAGCCUAAAACCACCAACCAGCAGUUGUGAAAAUGUGUUUAUAAUGAUCUCUUCUCCCGGCAGAAUGUAAAUUGGUUGCUACUUUUUUGUGGAGGUGGAUGGGAGAGCUGAUGUUACAUUGGCUGACUUCUGCAAAAGCGCAGCUGAGACCCCCUCCCCAGAGAAUAUUGAAGGUCUGAACGGCAAUGUUGACUUAAUACGCACACAUAUGCACACACACACACACACGCACGCACGCACACACAUAUAUAUACACUAGGGGUGUGCAGAGACAUCAUUAUCUGUAUCUGUAUCUGUUCAAUCAAAAAAAUAAUCUGUCUGUGUAUCUGUAUUCGGAUAGAAGACCGGAAGUGGGCGUGGUUUUUACCGGACGUCACGUUAAAUCGGGCAAAUGUUGUAUUUUGUAACCUAAUAUUCAUUGGCAAUGCAAUUGUUGUGCCUUCAAAUCAUCAAAUUGAUUUAAUAUUGGCAUAUAAUUAAUUAUUAA